rnacentral:rRNA from 1 species
AUACGAAGGGGGCUAGCGUUGUUCGGAAUUACUGGGCGUAAAGCGCACGUAGGCGGGUAUUUAAGUCAGGGGUGAAAUCCCAGAGCUCAACUCUGGAACUGCCUUUGAUACUGGGUACCUAGAGUAUGGAAGAGGUGAGUGGAAUUCCGAGUGUAGAGGUGAAAUUCGUAGAUAUUCGGAGGAACACCAGUGGCGAAGGCGGCUCACUGGUCCAUUACUGACGCUGAGGUGCGAAAGCGUGGGGAGC